rnacentral:rRNA from 1 species
AGAAGGGAGCUUGCUCCCGGAUGUUAGCGGCGGACGGGUGAGUAACACGUGGGUAACCUGCCUGUAAGACUGGGAUAACUCCGGGAAACCGGAGCUAAUACCGGAUAGUUCCUUGAACCGCAUGGUUCAAGGAUGAAAGACGGUUUCGGCUGUCACUUACAGAUGGACCCGCGGCGCAUUAGCUAGUUGGUGGGGUAAUGGCUCACCAAGGCGACGAUGCGUAGCCGACCUGAGAGGGUGAUCGGCCACACUGGGACUGAGACACGGCCCAGACUCCUACGGGAGGCAGCAGUAGGGAAUCUUCCGCAAUGGACGAAAGUCUGACGGAGCAACGCCGCGUGAGUGAUGAAGGUUUUCGGAUCGUAAAGCUCUGUUGUUAGGGAAGAACAAGUGCGAGAGUAACUGCUCGCACCUUGACGGUACCUAACCAGAAAGCCACGGCUAACUACGUGCCAGCAGCCGCGGUAAUACGUAGGUGGCAAGCGUUGUCCGGAAUUAUUGGGCGUAAAGGGCUCGCAGGCGGUUUCUUAAGUCUGAUGUGAAAGCCCCCGGCUCAACCGGGGAGGGUCAUUGGAAACUGGGAAACUUGAGUGCAGAAGAGGAGAGUGGAAUUCCACGUGUAGCGGUGAAAUGCGUAGAGAUGUGGAGGAACACCAGUGGCGAAGGCGACUCUCUGGUCUGUAACUGACGCUGAGGAGCGAAAGCGUGGGGAGCGAACAGGAUUAGAUACCCUGGUAGUCCACGCCGUAAAACGAUGAGUGCUAAGUGUUAGGGGGUUUCCGCCCCUUAGUGCUGCAGCUAACGCAUUAAGCACUCCGCCUGGGGAGUACGGUCGCA